UACGGAGGAUGCGAGCGUUAUCCGGAUUUAUUGGGUUUAAAGGGUGCGUAGGCGGGCUGUUAAGUCAGCGGUAAAAGCCCGGGGCUCAACCCCGGCGAGCCGUUGAAACUGGCUGUCUUGAGAUGUCGAGAGGUAUGCGGAAUGCGCAGUGUAGUGGUGAAAUGCGUAGAUAUAUGGAGGAACACCGGUGGCGAAAGCGGCUCUCUGGCCUGUAACUGACACUGAGGCUCGAAAGCGUGGGGAGCAAACAGG
rnacentral:rRNA from 1 species